rnacentral:rRNA from 1 species
AUUGAACGCUGGCGGCAGGCCUAACACAUGCAAGUCGAGCGAGCGGCGGACGGGUGAGUAAUGCCUAGGAAUCUGCCUGGUAGUGGGGGAUAACGUCCGGAAACGGGCGCUAAUACCGCAUACCAUCGGAUGUGCCCAGAUGGGAUUAGCUAGUAGGUGGGGUAAAGGCUCACCUAGGCGACGAUCCCUAGCUGGUCUGAGAGGAUGACCAGCCACACUGGAACUGAGACACGGUCCAGACUCCUACGGGAGGCAGCAGUGGGGAAUAUUGCACAAUGGGCGCAAGCCUGAUGCAGCCAUGCCGCGUGUAUGAAGAAGGCCUUCGGGUUGUAAAGUACUUUCAGCGGGGAGGCGUUACCCGCAGAAGAAGCACCGGCUAACUCCGUGCCAGCAGCCGCGGUAAUUC